UCAAAGAUUAAGCCAUGCAUGUGUCAGUACAAGCUAAACUAAAGUGAAACCGCGAAAGGCUCAUUAAAUCAGCUAUGAUUCAUUGGAUCUGUACACCCAGUUUUCCUUGGAUAACUGUGGUAAUUCUAGAGCUAAUACAUGCACAUAUAGUCCCUGACCCCGAGAGGGGAAAGGGCGCUUUUAUUAGUAUCUCAAAACCGGUCGUCGGGCUUCGGUCCGUAAACCCCUACUGUGAUGACUCUGGAUAACUUUUAGCUGAGCGCACGGUCUUUUGCACUGGCGCCGCUUCUUUCAAGUGUCUGCCUUAUCAGCUUUCGAUUGUAGGUUAUGUGCCUACAAUGGCUAUAACGGGUAACGGGGAAUCAGGGUUCGAUUCCGGAGAGGGAGCCUGAGAAACGGCUACCACAUCUAAGGAAGGCAGCAGGCACGCAAAUUACCCACUCCCGGCACGGGGAGGUAGUGACGAAAAAUAAUGAUGCGAGACUCAUCCGAGGCCUUGCAAUCAGAAUGAGUACACUUUAAAUCCUUUAACGAGGACCCAUUGGAGGGCAAGUCUGGUGCCAGCAGCCGCGGUAAUUCCAGCUCCAAUAGCAUAUAUUAAAGUUGUUGUGGUUAAAAAGCUCAUAGUUGGAUUACAGUUGUGGACUGAUGGUAUAUACACCUAUCGGUGCUUACUAUCACGCUCCUAAACGCGCUCGCUUUGUCGAGCCUCGCUAGCUCGCACGGGGUGCUCUUGAUCGAGUGUCCCGAGUGGCUGGUAUGUUUACUUUGAAAAAAUUAGAGUGCUCAGAGCAGGCUCCUAUUAUGGCCUGAAUGCUUAUGCAUGGAAUAAUGAAAUAAGACCUCGAUUCCAUUUUGUCUGGUUUUUAUGGAAUUGGAGGUAAUGACUAAUAGAGACAAACGGGGGCAUUUGUAUUGCGACGCUAGAGGUGAAAUUCUUGGACCGUCGCAAGACAAACAACUGCGAAAGCAUUUGCCAAGGAUGUUUUCAUUAAUCAAGAACGAAAGUUAGAGGUUCGAAGGCGAUCAGAUACCGCCCUAGUUCUAACCAUAAACGAUGCUGACCAGCAAUCCGCCGGCGUUAUUCCCAUGACCCGGCGGGCAGCUUCCGGGAAACCAAAGUCUUUGAGUUCCAGGGGAAGUAUGGUUGCAAAGCUGAAACUUAAAGGAAUUGACGGAAGGGCACCACCAGGAGUGGAGCCUGUGGCUUAAUUUGACUCAACACGGGAAACCUCACCAGGCCCAGACACUGGAAGGAUUGACAGAUUGAGAGCUCUUUCUCGAUUCAGUGGGUGGUGGUGCAUGGCCGUUCUUAGUUG
rnacentral:rRNA from 1 species